CAAUCUAUACGGUGAAACUGCGAAUGGCUCAUUAAAUCAGUUAUCGUUUAUUUGAUAGUACCUUACUACAUGGAUAACCGUGGUAAUUCUAGAGCUAAUACAUGCUAAAAACCCCGACUUCGGGAGGGGUGUAUUUAUUAGAUAAAAAACCAACGCCCUUCGGGGCUCCUUGGUGAUUCAUGAUAACUUAACGAAUCGCAUGGCCUUGCGCCGGCGAUGGUUCAUUCAAAUUUCUGCCCUAUCAACUUUCGAUGGUAGGAUAGUGGCCUACCAUGGUAUCAACGGGUAACGGGGAAUUAGGGUUCGAUUCCGGAGAGGGAGCCUGAGAAACGGCUACCACAUCCAAGGAAGGCAGCAGGCGCGCAAAUUACCCAAUCCCGACACGGGGAGGUAGUGACAAUAAAUACUGAUACAGGGCUCUUUUGGGUCUUGUAAUUGGAAUGAGUACAAUUUAAAUCCCUUAACGAGGAACAAUUGGAGGGCAAGUCUGGUGCCAGCAGCCGCGGUAAUUCCAGCUCCAAUAGCGUAUAUUAAAGUUGUUGCAGUUAAAAAGCUCGUAGUUGAACCUCGGGCCUGGCUGGCCGGUCCGCCUCACCGCGUGCACUGGUCCGGCCGGGCCUUUCCUCCUGGGGAUCCGCAUGCCCUUCACUGGGUGUGCCGGGGAACCAGGACUUUUACUUUGAAAAAAUUAGAGUGUUCAAAGCAGGCCUUUGCUCGAAUACAUUAGCAUGGAAUAAUAGAAUAGGACGG
rnacentral:rRNA from 2 species